GUACCAGUAGUUUAAUAGCAAAAUACAUCGUUUCCAUCGAUGGGUCCCGCGUUCAAUUCACGGCUGGUGCA